AACGAACGCUGGCGGCAGGCCUAACACAUGCAAGUCGAGCGAGGACUUCGGUCCUAGCGGCGGACGGGUGAGUAACGCGUGGGAACGUGCCCUUUGCUUCGGAAUAGCCCUGGGAAACUGGGAGUAAUACCGGAUGAGCCCUUUGGGGGAAAGAUUUAUCGUCGAAGGAUCGGCCCGCGUUGGAUUAGGUAGUUGGUGGGGUAAUGGCCUACCAAGCCGACGAUCCAUAGCUGGUUUGAGAGGAUGAUCAGCCACACUGGGACUGAGACACGGCCCAGAAUCCUACGGGAGGCAGCAGUGGGGAAUCUUAGACAAUGGGGGAAACCCUGAUCGAGCCAUGCCGCGUGAGCGAUGAAGGCCUUAGGGUUGUAAAGCUCUUUCAGCUGGGAAGAUAAUGACGGUACCAGCAGAAGAAGCCCCGGCUAACUCCGUG
rnacentral:rRNA from 1 species